rnacentral:lncRNA from 1 species
CUUGAUUUAAACUUUUUAAAUUCUGACUCUUGACAGUGAGCAUACAUGCUUAUUAAACAUAUAGAAAUGAGAAACAUAACAAAGUCAUUAUCUACUCAGGUUAAACUCUGAACAACAGGGUUAUUUCUAGUGACACAGACAGCAUCUGCAUGUUUGCUACAUAAGCAGAGUAACUCCUGGCUGUAUUCAGAUGAUUCUCCAGACAUAGUCUUGAGUUUGAAGAUGGAAACAUCUUGCUUAAAACCUUAUACUGGAUUAUCCACAGAUGGCACAGUGCACAGGUUUCAACAGAACCACUUUCAACAGUUAAUAUUUUCCUUUGAGUUUUGUUGAGUCUGUAGGUAAUCAUUAGUUGCAUCCCUGCAACAGAGAAUGAUUCAUCGGUGAGCAGGGUUUGUUUUUGGCACAGACAACCUCAUGAGGUGAAACAAUAGAGAGUUUUGUUUUGUUCUUGUUAUUUUUAACAACAUUUAAUUGUGUUCGGGCAUCUAUUUCACCUUCUUCUCACGUGUUUUUCUGGGAAUGGUUAUAAGAGGAAUAUUCACAAAUGUAAGUAUUGUUGAACACAAAACACAGGAGAAAACAAUCCAGGAAUCAGUGUCCUAUUAUUAAAAAACCCAGUAAUGUUUUAAACAGUCUUAAAUCUUUAUCGGGCAUACAGUAUACUUAUUCAUGUUCUUUUCUCUUGGAUUUUGCAUGCUCCACAAAAGCCAGUAUCAGAUUCUGUGUUUUCAUAGACAUGGGCAUGUUACUGCUUGUUUGUCAUUGACAAGAUUUUUAAAAUUUAUUCUUUCUCUGCUUGUGUUGCUCACUUUCCUCCUUUCUCUGCUAUUUUAAGUCCUGUUUGUAAAUCUAAUUCCAACCAAUGCUUUUUUGGGGACACAAUAUCACAGCCAGUGAGUGGAUGUUCCUGUGUAUAUUUUUGGUCUUUCAUAAUUUGUGUGUGGCCUUAGAAGUUGGUGGAGGACAAAAAAGACAAAAAUCACCUUUUAAAAAACCUUACCUUUCCAAACCUGUGAAAGAGUAAGGCAUUUUUCUUUCACGUUUUGAUAUUCAUAGGCAUGGGCUUUGCAGAUAAAUCUGCUUUCAAACCAACAUCAAGUUGUGCCCCUUCAGAAUUUGGCUGGCUACUCUCUGAUUAAUGAAACUAAAGCACAUACAGAAAAGUUUUUUUCAUGGUACCUGAAUUUGCACUGUUUUAAAUCUUUUCUAUAUUUUUCAUUACACUUACACUGUGUGUAACUGUAACAAAUACUCCAAUAGCUGUUGAUUUGCAGAGUGAGCUGUUUGUGUAAAGAUGUUAUUUUUGAUUGAUUUAAAAAGAAGACACCAAAAGACUGUAUAAAAACAAAAUUCAGUAAAAAGCCCAUGCUUAGUCCCACUGUAUUUAAGCAUUACAUUGUCAUCUCAGUGCUCAAAGAGGAGUAUAAUCACAGCAUUUUCUAUAUAUGGAUUGUGUUGAUAUAUAAAGAGGUUCUGCCAGUUGAUGACAGGAGCUGCUGGCAUGUAGAAGGUGGCUUCAGGACACCAGAGCUAACUGUCAGGCCAGGUUUUGUGGGCCUAAUUUGAAACACCAGUAAGGAAAAUAUUGGCAAAGAUUGGCACAAAAAAAGGUGCCAAAUAAUCGAGGUUUCUAGAUCAGGUGUUUCUUAAUGCUGUAUUCCAGUUACCCCGGAAGUUGGAGCUGGGAAUGACGUUACACCAGAGUUGACGAUGUUCCAGUAGACAAGUCGGAAAGCCAAGAUGGACACCUACUGUAAGCCGAUGUUAGCUGUUGUUAACAAUUGCCAGCUGUUUUCAGGCAUUGUCAGUUGUUGUUAGCGGUUGUCAGGUGUUGUUACUUGUUGUUGUUAGCUAUACCAAUUGUAAACAACACAUAACACAGUAUUUUACUCUUACAAAACACCAUAGUACAGUGUCCACCGCACAACAUAUAUACCACUUAUUUAAUUUCACAAAAACAAAACAGAAGUGCUAAUAAAUAAUACACUACAAAAGCUUUAAUUCUUACUCCCUACUGUUGAUGCACUGCGCUGCCAUCUUGUAUUAUGAUGCUGUCGUCAAGUCUGGGUUGGUGAGGAUCAUCCAACUUUUUGGGUCGGAAAUCUGACUUUAGGGGGGCAUUUCAGAUGAAUUUCCAACUCGGAGCUCUGAAAUCCUGACUUUGGAGUACAACUGGAACGUAGCAUAAGCUAUCUGCAAAUAUUCCAACCAACCAAGCUUCACUAGAGUGAGGCCUCUUCUUUCCGAGACACCACAGCCUUCAGGAAAGUCACAAAGAGUCACAAAAGAGAGCAUUGACCUUAUUGCUUGAACUCACGAACUCAUCCCCAAAUACAAACAAUGGCAGACAUCUUCUUCAUUGCCCCUUACUAGCAGCUGGAUAACAAUUUGAGUCAACCAGCUGGAAAUCCAAUGUUUCAACAGUAAAACUUCUUUGGGCACAUACGAUCAUCACCUUGGCAUUAGCAGGAUUUUUGGACUUGCAGUGCCACUGGAUAAACUCACUGACUGGGCCAAGAAAAAGAAAUGAGAAAAGUAUCAGGAACUGGUUGUAGGGGGCAAGAGCAGAGGCUGGAAGGUGCACUAUGACGGUUGCAUCUUUGCUGAACACUUGAUCAGCAAAACCCUUACCUGAUUGGGCAUCUUAGGUGCUGCAACAAUAAGGCUAUUCAAUCCAAAAACAAAGAGGACAACUGCUCGGUUGCCUAGGUGAAGGUAUAUGAUGUAGAAAGACCAUAAAACACGUUGUGACCCAGGAUCACAUCUCUAAUGAUGCAUCACAGUGCAUCUGGGAGAUGCAUUUUACACAGUAAAGCUUUGGAAUGACCAAAAUUUACUCACUUAAAUUAUUAAAUCUGAAACCUGGGGCUUUGAAAAUCUUUUCAAAAAUUCAAAGUCCUGCUUGUAUUGUAACCAGAGAACGUAAAAAGAUGUACCCACUGAGAUGUCUCAUUGACUGCAUAUUAAAAAAAUCCCUGUUGUUUUGCAUCUUUGUUAGAUUUACGUUGGUUGUCUGAUGCCACAAGUGACCAAGUUUUUAAAAAAGGGUAGGACUGAGACCUACACUGUUCAGUAGAAGGUUGUAUUUUUCUCUGCUUGCUGUAGUUUCAGGCGAUCACAGCAUGAAGUAAUGUGGCGUGAUUUUUCUCUCCACAGAUCCAAAUUAUGCAGCCAAUGACAACCUAAAGAUUUAGCCCCCAGUCCACCAACCCUAAAGAGAUCCAGUGACUGGCACAGAGCCCUGACCUCAACACCAGUGCUGACAGCAGUCCGGGCCUCUUCACCCAACACUAGUGCCAAAUCUCACUAAUGCUGACCAAGAGCAAAUCCCUGUCACCAGCUCCCAAAAAUCUGAUGGAAAAUCUAAAAGUAGAGCUGUGGAGGCUCUUAAAGCAGUACAUUAAAACACAUGAUGCAUAAAAAAAAACCAG